UGCAUCCCGGACCGACCUGACACCGAAAAAAGACGGUUUGCCAGUCUCACGACCCAGACAAACAAUACUUGGAGGAGUACGUAGCAGAGGCGCGAUAGCUGAAGAGCAAGAGACCUGUCCGCCUGUGUUCUCAGCCGACUAUCAGUAUCUUGAUAGCAAGACAUUCAAGUUUCGAAUCAACGUCAGCUUGCCAUGUGGACAAGCUCACCUAUCCCCAGCAUACCAACAGUACAUCCGACAACUGGGAAUUCGUGGAGACGCAGGAACCUCUGCCCAAGCCUCAGCAUGCCUGAGAGUACGCUAUGAGAACAGAAAACACAGGAAACGACUAACGACGUCCUGGAACUUGCAAACACUAACGUUAGCGGAUCCGACUUCAGGCAAGCACUCAUUAGUGGACAGAGCUAUGUUGGCGAUUUUCAUAGAGUGAGAAUCUCUGAUGCAGGCAAGGGCAAUAACAGAAUUAAGGAUUUGAAGUUCCAGUUGAUGGUGGGGCUUGGUGAUGCAGUGAGUCAAGCUUUCUCGGAAAUCCUUUCAAGAGGGGUUACAGUGCACAUUUCGCACAGCGUGGUAUCAUUGCACACAGCGAUCAGACUGGAGAGGAUGGUGCCACUAGCACAAGAACCCUAGAUGCCCCUAAUCUCGAGUGCGAGACAUGUAAGAAGGCGGGCAAGGAUGGUGCUUUCGUUGUGAGAUGCAAAGUGCUACGCUUUCUAGGUGCUGUGGCGUGGACACAAUACAACCGAGGUGGAAAAGGAGGUGUUUUCCACUUCAUCAACGGUAGUACGUCCGCUAGCGAUACAUGGAUCCAAUUUACUUACAGGGGCAAAUCGUUGACUUGCACCAAAUCCCGGCCAGUCAAACGGUUUGGCGAGUUCAACCUUGAUACCAUCAAGGUGCGAGUUGAUUGCAUUCCAAAAAGCAGCAACCGAACUUCUGGUGCAGACGAAUUGACCAUCGUGGCACACAAUAAGUGGGGAACCCGCGUUGAAAACGUUUCUCCCGAAUCCGCCCCAAGGUGCUGAGUUGAUGAAGAUAAACCUAUCUACUUAUGAACAAUGUGCCUCCUGUCCUGUCCAAUUGAUAUCAUUAGGUCAACGCUAGAUAUGACGUUGAUAACGCAAUUCAUGCGUGCUAUAUACUUACACUUUACCAUUUCAAAUUUCAUUUCACAUUUCCGUGUAUUGUUCAACGAUAACUGGAUUUACUUCAAGCAACACAAGCUGGUUUUGGUAUUAUUAUUUUCUUGUCAUGGAUAUCAAAAUUGUCUUGAUUAUCAUUCACCACCUGUGUGGCAAGGAUUUUCUGCUUCUUAUCCCAGUGGAAUUCAAGAACCUAUGCGUGGUGCAGUUGUGCUGCUUCUUACGAAAGGUUACAAUGAUCUGUAUGGUGUAGAUACUGUAUCCUGUUGCUUACUAUUAGCGGCUAGGACUCCUAGGCUCACUGCAGGGGACGAAGCCUGGGCUCCAACCAAGUAA